GGAGACUGCCGGUGACAAACCGGAGGAAGGUGGGGAUGACGUCAAGUCAUCAUGGCCCUUACGGCCAGGGCUACACACGUGCUACAAUGGUCGGUACAGAGGGUUGCCAAGCCGCGAGGUGGAGCUAAUCUCACAAAACCGAUCGUAGUCCGGAUCGCAGUCUGCAACUCGACUGCGUGAAGUCGGAAUCGCUAGUAAUCGUGAAUCAGAAUGUCACGGUCGAAUACGUUCCCGGGCCUU
rnacentral:rRNA from 1 species